rnacentral:misc_RNA from 1 species
GCAUCAUUGUCGAUUUUGUGGUGGAAUUUUUUGCAGAGCAUGCACAGAAGGAAGGUGCUUGUUACCUGUUAAGUUUAGGGAGAGGAAUCCACAGAGGGUUUGUGAUUCCUGCUAUGAUAGGCUUGAUCCCUUGCAAGGAAUUCUCAUCAAUACCAUUAGCAAUGCUGUGCAAGCAGCAAAGCAUGAUGUGAUGGAUUGGACAUGCACAAGAGGAUGGUUGAACCCUCCAGUUGGUUUGUCCAUGGAGCAUGAGAUAUACAAAGCAUCAAAUACAUUGAGAAGCUACUCCCAGGUUGCUAGAUUAAAUCCUGAGAGGUCCAUACCUCUAGCAGUUCUGAAAGGAGCCAAAGGCUUGGCAAUAUUAACUGUUGUCAAAGCUGGUGUGUUGGUUGCUUAUAAACUUGGUACCGGUUUAGUCAUUGCUCGGAGGUCUGGUGGAUCAUGGUCUGCUCCAUCUGCAAUAUGCUCAGUUGGUUUAGGAUGGGGUGCUCAGAUUGGAGGUGAGCUCAUGGACUUUAUAAUUGUCCUCCAUGAUAUGAAAGCUGUGAAGACAUUUUGUAGUCGCAUGCAUUUUUCUCUUGGAGCUGGUUGCAGUGCUGCAGCAGGCCCUAUUGGGAGGGUUCUGGAAGCAGAUCUUCGGGCUGGAGAUAGAGGUUCUGGCAUGUGCUAUACUUACAGUUGUAGCAAAGGGGCAUUUGUUGGAGUAUCAC